AAGUCGUAACAAGGUUUCCGUAGGUGAACCUGCGGAAGGAUCAUUAGUAAUCGAUGCAUGGCGGCGCGUGCAAGCGUGCCGCCAUUCACAUCAUAUACACCCCAUGUGAGUAGUCACACGAAAUGUCAUGACUGAAACAUUACACAGUUAAAGUAAAUGCAUACAACUUUUAACAAUGGAUCUCUUGGUUCCU
rnacentral:misc_RNA from 1 species